UAACUACUCCCUUCGUCCCAAAAUAAGUGUCUCAAGUUUAGUACAACUUUAUACUAAUGUUAGUACAAAGUUGAGACACUUAUUUUGGGACGGAGGGAGUAUAUU
rnacentral:pre_miRNA from 1 species